CUAAACGCCGCCGGGCGUAAUAGUACGCCCUCCGGUCUUUCUGUACUUACCCGGUCGCCGGCGGUCCCACGCCGGCGAUCGCGGUGGGGGGGACUCCCAGGGACCCCCCCGCGGCACGACCGUCCUCCAGGAAGCCCCCCGGCCGUGUGAGAGUGGGGUCCUAGCGAGGACCCCACAAUCACAUGGCCGGGUAUAGCUGGCUUCUGUAUUGCCAGCAGGGGGGCUGCCUGUAAUUACACGGGGUCCCCCUGCUGGCUGAAAAUAAAAGUAAAAUAAGUUAAAAGUGU